rnacentral:rRNA from 1 species
UACGGAGGGUGCGAGCGUUGUUCGGAAUCACUGGGCGUAAAGCGCGUGUAGGCGGCCCACUAAGUCUGAUGUGAAAGCCCGGGGCUCACCCCCGGAAGUGCAUUGGAAACUGGUGGACUCGAGUCCCGGAGAGGAGAGUGGAAUUCCUGGUGUAGCGGUGAAAUGCGUAGAUAUCAGGAGGAACACCGGUGGCGAAGGCGGCUCUCUGGACGGUGACUGACGCUGAGGCACGAAAGCUAGGGGAGCAAACAGG